rnacentral:lncRNA from 1 species
AUGAAACAAAAUAAAAAUUAUUAAGUCAUAUCAAGCACACAUGUGGCAGAUACAUUUUGUGAUAGAUGACCAUUUUUAUAUAAAAACAUACAGCUCCAUCUAGCUCUAAGUGCUUUUGUCUCUGCUCUCAAUUGUCAGACAUUUUGCAAGAUAAACAGCAGCAUGCAAUGGGCUGGAGAAAGAAACAGCAGAAAGCACAGUCGAAAGAGCCCAGGGAACCAUCCAUCACAAAGCCAUCCUGCCUUAAAGUGAAAAGUGCAAUUCCCUAAGACUCUGACUGAACAUCCUGCUAAUUUUAGCAAAAUAAUAAAUAUGAAUAAGUCUUGUUUA